rnacentral:rRNA from 1 species
GUCCCGUACACAAAAGUGCAUGUGUUGUGAACUCGAAGAGUAGGGCGGGACACGUGGUAUCCUGUCUGAAUAUGGGGGGACCAUCCUCCAAGGCUAAAUACUCCUGACUGACCGAUAGUGAACCAGUACCGUGAGGGAAAGGCGAAAAGAACCCCGGCGAGGGGAGUGAAAAAGAACCUGAAACCGUGUACGUACAAGCAGUGGGAGCACCCUUUGGGGUGUGACUGCGUACCUUUUGUAUAAUGGGUCAGCGACUUAUAUUCUGUAGCAAGGUUAACCGAAUAGGGGAGCCGAAGGGAAACCGAGUCUUAACUGGGCGUUAAGUUGCAGGGUAUAGACCCGAAACCCGGUGAUCUAGCCAUGGGCAGGUUGAAGGUUGGGUAACACUAACUGGAGGACCGAACCGACUAAUGUUGAAAAAUUAGCGGAUGACUUGUGGCUGGGGGUGAAAGGCCAAUCAAACCGGGAGAUAGCUGGUUCUCCCCGAAAGCUAUUUAGGUAGCGCCUCGUGAAUUCAUCUUCGGGGGUAGAGCACUGUUUCGGCUAGGGGGUCAUCCCGACUUACCAACCCGAUGCAAACUGCGAAUACCGAAGAAUGUUAUCACGGGAGACACACGGCGGGUGCUAACGUCCGUCGUGAAGAGGGAAACAACCCAGACCGCCAGCUAAGGUCCCAAAGUCAUGGUUAAGUGGGAAACGAUGUGGGAAGGCACAGACAGCCAGGAUGUUGGCUUAGAAGCAGCCAUCAUUUAAAGAAAGCGUAAUAGCUCACUGGUCGAGUCGGCCUGCGCGGAAGAUGUAACGGGGCUAAACCAUGCACCGAAGCUGCGGCAGCGACACUAUGUGUUGUUGGGUAGGGGAGCGUUCUGUAAGCCGUUGAAGGUGUACUGUGAGGUAUGCUGGAGGUAUCAGAAGUGCGAAUGCUGACAUAAGUAACGAUAAUGCGGGUGAAAAACCCGCACGCCGGAAGACCAAGGGUUCCUGUCCAACGUUAAUCGGGGCAGGGUGAGUCGACCCCUAAGGCGAGGCCGAAAGGCGUAGUCGAUGGGAAACAGGUUAAUAUUCCUGUACUUGGUGUUACUGCGAAGGGGGGACGGAGAAGGCUAUGUUAGCCGGGCGACGGUUGUCCCGGUUUAAGCAUGUAGGCGGNNNNNNNNNNNNNNNNNNNNNNNNNNNNNNNNNNNNNNNNNNNNNNNNNNNNNNNNNNNNNNNNNNNNNNNNNNNNNNNNNNNNNNNNNNNNNNNNNNNNCGGGAGAAGGCACGCUGAUAUGUAGGUGAAGUGAUUUACUCAUGGAGCUGAAAUCAGUCGAAGAUACCAGCUGGCUGCAACUGUUUAUUAAAAACACAGCACUGUGCAAACACGAAAGUGGACGUAUACGGUGUGACGCCUGCCCGGUGCCGGAAGGUUAAUUGAUGGGGUUAUCCGUAAGGAGAAGCUCUUGAUCGAAGCCCCGGUAAACGGCGGCCGUAACUAUAACGGUCCUAAGGUAGCGAAAUUCCUUGUCGGGUAAGUUCCGACCUGCACGAAUGGCGUAAUGAUGGCCAGGCUGUCUCCACCCGAGACUCAGUGAAAUUGAACUCGCUGUGAAGAUGCAGUGUACCCGCGGCAAGACGGAAAGACCCCGUGAACCUUUACUAUAGCUUGACACUGAACACUGGUCCUUGAUGUGUAGGAUAGGUGGGAGGCUUUGAAGUGUGGACGCCAGUCUGCAUGGAGCCAUCCUUGAAAUACCACCCUUUAAUGGCUGGUGUUCUAACGUAGACCCGUAAUCCGGGUUGCGGACAGUGUCUGGUGGGUAGUUUGACUGGGGCGGUCUCCUCCUAAAGAGUAACGGAGGAGCACGAAGGUUAGCUAAUCCUGGUCGGACAUCAGGAGGUUAGUGCAAAGGCAUAAGCUAGCUUGACUGCGAGAGUGACGGCUCGAGCAGGUGCGAAAGCAGGUCUUAGUGAUCCGGUGGUUCUGAAUGGAAGGGCCAUCGCUCAACGGAUAAAAGGUACUCCGGGGAUAACAGGCUGAUACCGCCCAAGAGUUCAUAUCGACGGCGGUGUUUGGCACCUCGAUGUCGGCUCAUCACAUCCUGGGGCUGAAGUAGGUCCCAAGGGUAUGGCUGUUCGCCAUUUAAAGUGGUACGCGAGCUGGGUUUAGAACGUCGUGAGACAGUUCGGUCCCUAUCUGCCGUGGGCGCUGGAGAAUUGAGGGGGGCUGCUCCUAGUACGAGAGGACCGGAGUGGACGCAUCACUGGUGUUCGGGUUGUCAUGCCAAUGGCAUUGCCCGGUAGCUAAAUGCGGAAGAGAUAAGUGCUGAAAGCAUCUAAGCACGAAACUUGCCCCGAGAUGAGUUCUCCCUGA